rnacentral:rRNA from 1 species
GUAAGGAAUAUUGGACAAUGGGCGGAAGCCUGAUCCAGCCAUCCCGCGUGCUUGAUGAAGGCCCUCUGGGUUGUAAAGAGCUUUAGUCUGGGAAGAAACCGUUUUCUGCGGAAGACGCUGACGGUACCAGAAGAAUAAGCACCGGCUAACUCCGUGCCAGCAGCCGCGGUAAUACGGAGGGUGCAAGCGUUAUCCGGAAUCACUGGGUUUAAAGGGUGCGUAGGCGGUCUGAUAAGUCAGAGGUGAAAGCCUGCAGCUUAACUGUAGAAUUGCCUUUGAUACUGUCAGACUUGAAUGGGGUCGAGGUCGGCGGAAUGUGGCAUGUAGCGGUGAAAUGCAUAGAUAUGCCAUAGAACACCAAUUGCGAAGGCAGCUGACUAGGCCUGUAUUGACGCUGAGGCACGAAAGCGUGGGGAGCAAACAGGAUUAGAAACCCCAGUAGUCC